AGUACUUAAAGCUUUUUCAAUUGUAAUAAUUGUAAGAAAACAUUUUAAAAACAUUUUGGGACAAGGAACAAACGUCAUUCUGUCACUCGCGCGAUUUAGAGGGCAAAAAAAACAUUUUUUUUUAUGUUGCGAGCUUCAAUUUCUUAGUUUUCUAGAGAGGACAUUCGUUUUUCGACCAUAACUCGACCAAUUCCUUGAGGAUCUGGAAAGGACACAUUUUAUUAAUCUCGCAGGAUUCAGGACUAUCGUCUGGUGGGUACAUGGGCAAAGACAAAAUAGUUCUAGCAGCUGUGUGGAUAUAGAGAACGGUUGCGCAUUACGAAACUCAGGUGCCUGGAGAGCAAGGGGACAGUUUUCUUGAACUUAGACUGGAAUAGUGACACACUCGGCUGCUCGCUGCGAAACAAGUUAAUUUUGGGGCAACAGUCUUACCUUAUUUUAAAGAAUCUUCAUCUGAGCGUAUUUGUUGCACGUCUUCCAAUGAUCUCCGUUAAGUUUGGUCGCUGUGAUACAAGAUGUUUUUGGGACAGCCUCUUCUUCCAACAGCA
rnacentral:sRNA from 1 species